rnacentral:rRNA from 1 species
GGUUGAAAGUAAAAGGAAUUGACGGGGGUCCGCUCAAGCGGUGGAGCAUGUGGUUUAAUUCGAAGCAACGCGAGGAGCCUUCCCAGGUCUUGACAUCUUUUGACAAUCCUAGAGAUAGGACUUUCCCUUCGGGGACAAAAUGACAGGUGGUGCAUGGUUGUCGUCAGCUCGUGUCGUGAGAUGUUGGGUUAAGUCCCGCAAUGAGCGCAACCCUUAUUGUUAGUUGCCAGCAGUAAGUUGGGCGCUCUAGCAAGACUGCCGGUGACAAACCGGAGGAAGGUGGGGAUGACGUCAAAUCAUCAUGCCCCUU